rnacentral:misc_RNA from 1 species
ACAAACUUGGUCAUUUAGAGGAAGUAAAAGUCGUAACAAGGUUUCCGUAGGUGAACCUGCGGAAGGAUCAUUGCAAAACUAUUCAAAGGUCGACUUGCAGUUUUCGGACUGUUUGUUGAUCCUGCGAAUUAAAACCCUUUGUGCACCGUUGUCAAUGUCUGUCAUCUUUCGGGUUAGGUUGUGAGGACUCUUUUGAGGCCUUUUGAUCUGCCCAGAGGUGACCUUUGUCAAACUCUUGCCAUUAUUCCUAGUCUGAAGUUAUCUGAGUCUUUCUGACCAGAGUUUAUGUUAAACAUAAAAACAACUUUCAACAAUGGAUCUCUUGGCUCUCGCAUCGAUGAAGAACGCAGC